CCUUGGUCGCCCUCGGGGGCCGCGGGCUCGGACUGCUCCGGAGCCGGGCUGGGCGGACCUCCGCCGUCGCCGUCCCCUCCAUCACCGCCGCCGCCGCCGCCGCUCAGCUGCGCUGCCAUGGGCUACGGGGAAGUAACGGGCAGCUCCGAGUUUCCUUGAAGUCGCUCUCGCUGGGACACCCCUCCCGGCCCCCCAAAGGCUUCUGUCUCAGCAUCUCCAGGGAUCAACCAGCCACGCCGGAGGAGGCGUCCUCCGCGUUCUUUUCUGUUAUACCUGCGCCACCCUAUUUCCAAUCAGCCCCACCUGCCCCACCCCGCCCUAAUUGUUGUGUACUUUUAAUAAGGCUUCAAAGUUCAGCUCUUCUGUGCCUUUCGGGUCAAGUAGCUUCACCGGGAAUGGAAGGGGGUUAGACUAACACCAUUAAGGUUGAAAUGCCUUUAGAGACCAAUGUUUUUGCUUUCUUUACAGUAAAGUUUCUUUACAGUAACACUCAAGUCCAUUAAGUUAUAAAGUGACCAAAACUCUAGAUGUCCUAAAGUUUUACCCUAUAACUUCCAACUAUCUUUCCAAGCGAGAGAGAGAACUAAGUGGGGCCAAGAACCUUAAAGUAUCUAUCACAAGUGAGAAAAUGUCAUUGAUUCUAGUUAAAUGUUUACCAAGCCGAGGUGGUUAGAAAUUUUAAUGAAAUUAAUAAAAGGUAAAACAAGAUCAGAUUUGGCAAAAAUGACAGCACAGGAAACAAAACAAAUAACAAAGGGCUCCUCUCACUGUGGUGUAAAAAAGUAAAUGGGGUGAGGGUGUUGGAUUCAGAGUCAAGGGAUACAGGUUCCUGUGUAAGUUAUCUUUGUGGAAUCCCGAUUCAGAUUCUGGCUCACCCCAAAAAAAGAUGCUGGUCCCUCAGACCACUUUCUAUUGCUACCACUCUCAGACUCUGCCUAAAUUUUAAAUUUCCAAUCCAUCUGAGUUGCCUAAGCAAUGUUGCAAAGCACUACCCUGAUCAUGUUGUUACACGAUCCAUUAGAAAACAUCCAGGAGUGGCUACCCAAUGCACUCAACAAUGAAUGUACUCCAAUUUCUUGGCUUGAGGUUUAACCCCAACUUAAUUCUAACCUACCAGUUCUAGUCUCACAACUAGCCUCAGGUACAUAUGGUUUUCCUAAACUAUAGACACAUUUUUUUGGGGGGUGAAAGGGAGUAAGGA